ensembl:snRNA U6 U6 spliceosomal RNA
GUGCUCACUUCAGCAGCACAUAUACUAAAUUUGGAACAAUACAGAGAAGAUUAGCAUGGUCCCUGCACAGGGAUGAUACACAAAUUCAUGAAGCAUUCCAUAGUUUU